ensembl:misc_RNA
CUUCCAUUUUGUAUAGGGCUCAGCCUCUCAGGUUUUUAACUCCUUGAGCAUCGUGGGCUGCUCUUCCACUCUGGUAGGGAAGCCCUGUCCUGGAUCUGGCCCACUACUCCAGGCCCU